UACGUAGGGGGCGAGCGUUGUCCGGAGUUACUGGGCGUAAAGCGCACGCAGGCGGUCGCACGCGUUUGGGGUCACAGCUCCUAGCUCAACUGGGAGAGCGCCUCGAAGACGGUGCGACUUGAGGCUCACAGAGGGACACAGAAUUCCGGGUGGAGUGGUGAAAUGCGUAGAGAUCCGGAGGAAUACCAAAGGCGAAGGCAGUGUCCUGGGUGAGGUCUGACGCUCAGGUGCGAAAGCGAGGGGAGCGAACGGG
rnacentral:rRNA from 1 species